rnacentral:rRNA from 1 species
UACGUAGGUGACAAGCGUUGUCCGGAUUUACUGGGCGUAAAGAGCGCGCAGGCGGUCGUUCAAGUCGAGUGUGAAAGCCCCCGGCUCAACUGGGGAGGGUCAUUCGAUACUGAUCGACUCGAAGGCAGGAGGAGGGAAGUGGAAUUCCCGGUGUAGUGGUGAAAUGCGUAGAUAUCGGGAGGAACACCAGUGGCGAAGGCGACUUCCUGGCCUGUUCUUGACGCUGAGGCGCGAAAGCUAGGGGAGCAAACGGG